rnacentral:tRNA from 1 species
GGUUAUAGCUCAGUGGUAGAGAGCUUGCCUCGCAAGCAUGGGGCCCUGGGUUUGAUCCUCAGCACCA